GAUGAACGCUGGCGGCGUGCCUAAUACAUGCAAGUCGAGCGAACAGACGAGGAGCUUGCUCCUCUGACGUUAGCGGCGGACGGGUGAGUAACACGUGUAUAACCUACCUAUAAGACUGGGAUAACUUCGGGAAACCGGAGCUAAUACCGGAUAAUAUAUUGAACCGCAUGGUUCAAUAGUGAAAGACGGUUUUGCUGUCACUUAUAGAUGGAUCCGCGCCGCAUUAGCUAGUUGGUAAGGUAACGGCUUACCAAGGCAACGAUGCGUAGCCGACCUGAGAGGGUGAUCGGCCACACUGGAACUGAGACACGGUCCAGACUCCCACGGGAGGCAGCAGUAGGGAAUCUUCCGCAAUGGGCGAAAGCCUGACGGAGCAACGCCGCGUGAGUGAUGAAGGUCUUCGGAUCGUAAAACUCUGUUAUUAGGGAAGAACAAAUGUGUAAGUAACUAUGCACGUCUUGACGGUACCUAAUCAGAAAGCCACGGCUAACUACGUG
rnacentral:rRNA from 1 species